ACCUUUAACCAUUCUUAAUUCAUUUUCUUGUUAAGGAAUUAGCAAGUAUCAAGAAUUUUCGCUCAAUUAUAAGGAAAAUUGGAAAUCCGGAUCAGAAGUUGCAAGCAUAAGUGGUUACAUGAAAUAUAAAACAGUGCUACAAAUUCUUGCUAAAGUACAUAAUCACAAUUUUAAUUCGAAAUAAUUUUAGUAAUCAACAAAUUUAAGAAUUCUAACAAUAACGUACUUAGUGAACAAACAGAUUUAAUAAACGAACAUAGGUUUCACAACCUGAGUCCAUAUCGUCCUAAAGGUUUUUGAGAUUUCCAUGGUCCAGUCAGUAUAAAUUGCUAACCACUAAAGAAGCAGCCGGAAAAACGCCUGGAAUUAGUCUACUAGACCAUGGUGAAUCCUAGUAGUUUUCAGGACGAAAGUGGAUUUAGGUGCGGAAUCCCCAUCUUUAGUACUUAAGCAAAGGGUUUUGCAUCCAAACUUAAAAACGGAGCAGUUGAAAUUGUACGUAAACAACUGAAAAUUGGGAUCAUUGUGUAAAAUGUCAAAUGAAAACUUGGUUAAAGCACGAAUUAUGAUAUUUCUUCAAGUUUUCCAGAAACAUUGCUCUUACUAACCGCAUCUCCUCAAAUUCUGCUGAAAAGCAUCACAUUAUAUCGGGUCAAAAAUAUGUUGAAGUCUCAUUAACCCCAAGACGUUUUAAGACACUCCAGAAUGCACACAUACGUAUACAAAAGAAGAUUACAAAAUCGUUUCCCAUAAUUAAUUAGCCUAACCAUUUGGGGUUAAAACGAAGCAGGUGUGGAAUCUGUAGGACGUAUGAUCAUGGAAUUAUAGCCAUCGAAUUUUUCCCUCCUCGAGAGCUUAACUUCUUCAAUUUCUUUGCGUACCGGGGUGCGUAUCUGAUUGGAAAAUUUCUUUCACUCCGAAUCGCUUCCGAUAGUAUUUCAGCAUGUAUUUGAUAUUUGGAAUACCCAGUUUUAAUGUAACGUAUAUGUACAUAAGAAUAAAUAAAAAAUUUAACUUA